UACGUAGGGGGCAAGCGUUGUCCGGAUUUAUUGGGCGUAAAGAGCGUGUAGGCGGCCAAGCAGGUCCGCUGUGAAAACUCGAGGCUCAACCUCGAGACGUCGGUGGAAACCGUUUGGCUAGAGUCCGGAAGAGGAGAGUGGAAUUCCCGGUGUAGCGGUGAAAUGCGCAGAUAUUGGGAAGAACACCAAUGGCGAAAGCAGCUUUCUGGGACGGUACUGACGCUGAGACGCGAAAGCGUGGGGAGCGAACAGG
rnacentral:rRNA from 1 species